GCAGAACGCGAAGAACCUUACCAGGUCUUGACAUCCCUCUGAAUCUGCUAGAGAUAGCAGCGGCCUUCGGGACAGAGGAGACAGGUGGUGCAUGGUUGCCGUCAGCUCGUGUCGUGAGAUGUUGGGUUAAGUCCCGCAACGAGCGCAACCCUUAACUUUAGUUGCCAGCAGGUUAAGCUGGGCACUCUAGAGUGACUGCCGGUGACAAACCGGAGGAAGGUGGGGAUGACGUCAAAUCAUCAUGCCCCUUAUGACCUGGGCUACACACGUACUACAAUGGCCGGUACAACGGGAAGCGAAGCCGCGAGGUGGAGCCAAUCCCAUCAAAGCCGGUCUCAGUUCGGAUCGGGGUCUGCAACUCGACCCCGUGAAGUCGGAGUCGCUAGUAAUCGCAGAUCAGCAACGCUGCGGUGAAUACGUUCCCGGGUCUUGUACACACCG
rnacentral:rRNA from 1 species